GGAGGGAUACCCAAGAGGCUAAAGGGGGCAGACUGUAAAUCUGUUGGCACCGCCUUCGCUGGUUCGAAUCCAGCUCCCUCCACCA
rnacentral:tRNA from 1 species